rnacentral:rRNA from 1 species
AACGAACGCUGGCGGCAGGCUUAACACAUGCAAGUCGAACGAUGAAGGAGGAGCUUGCUACUCUGGAUUAGUGGCGAACGGGUGAGUAACACGUGAGCAAUCUGCCCUUGACUCUGGGAUAAGCGCUGGAAACGGCGUCUAAUACCGGAUACGACCCUCGGAGGCAUCUCCUGUGGGUGGAAAGAACUUCGGUCAAGGAUGAGCUCGCGGCCUAUCAGCUUGUUGGUGAGGGAAUGGCUCACCAAGGCGACGACGGGUAGCCGGCCUGAGAGGGUGACCGGCCACACUGGGACUGAGACACGGCCCAGACUCCUACGGGAGGCAGCAGUGGGGAAUAUUGCACAAUGGGCGCAAGCCUGAUGCAGCAACGCCGCGUGAGGGACGACGGCCUUCGGGUUGUAAACCUCUUUUAGCAGGGAAGAAGCGAGAGUGACGGUACCUGCAGAAAAAGCACCGGCUAACUACGUGCCAGCCGCCGCCGUAACAC